AAAUAAUAACUGUAAUAUCAUCAAAUUCUGGUGCACUGAAGUCGUCACCCCUGCAAGCACCGAAUUGGAAUCAUUUAAAAGGGCAAAAUGUAAAGGUCAUAGGGCAACCAAAAAAAAAAAAAGGAAUGGAAAGAACAAAAAAAAAAGCCAUUGGUAGCAUAUAGAGAUCAACUACUGUGAGUUAGUUUGUUUUUUCAAUUAAAAAACAAUGAACGGAUCAUCUUCAAGAGGAUAAGAGAGCAAAAUAUAAUAUUAUAGAACUUGUACUAAGUGAACCCUCUAACAUCGGUUUGAAAUUAGCUGAAAGACUACAACUAUGUGAACAAUUUAUCAAAUAAUUUGCAUUUGUGGAGAGAAUCCAUCAACGAGGACAGCAGCAGCAGUUAAAUAAAAGAUUAAAAUAACAUGUUAAGAAAUAAAUGUUAAUGUGUGACUUAUAAAAUUGCAAAAAACAAAAUCUGCUCAACGUCUAAGCAAGUUAAGACGGUUGUACCUCUAGAUUUUAGAAAAUUCUAUUCUAAAUAGUUUUAUUGAUGAAAUUAGAUUUCUUUUUUCUUUUUCUUUUUUUAAAUCGGUAAAUUUUUUUUUUUAAUUGGUGACAUGUCUAAUUGAAUGAGUCUUGUUUUUAUUUUUGCAUGUGUCCCCAGCAAAUGUUAAGUUUGGAAGUAUUUGAUAAAUACGUUUUAUAUGCUUAUUAAACGAGCAAAAUUUUACUCACUUUGUGUUCUGUUUGAUUUGUAUAGGUUUCAGUCCCCACUUUGAAAAUUAAUUAAGUAAAAAGGAAGUGAUUUGAAACAUUAAUUGGACAUAAAGAUGGAAUUUCACUGGGGCUGAAAGUAUUGGGACUUUAUUUGACAAAACUGGAAUUUAAUUGGAAGAAUUCAUAAAAUAUGGUGGCCAAAAUGAAUUCUUUGUGAAGUUUAAGGACUAAAUCGAAUAAAACAAAAAUUGGGGAAAAAUUGGACUUGAUGGAAAUUUGAAGGACCAAAAUUGUUGAUAUAGAUAGUUUGAGGAUCGAAAUUGAGAGAGAAACGUUGAGGGACAGUCUUUGCAAUUAUCUUGUGAACAGUCAAAAAAUAUUUAAGAGGCACCUGUCAUGUGCCAGGGUGCAUGACGUGGGUAAAGGAAAAAGGAUAAGACUAUACGUACACUUUUCGAUGUACAUAAAGUCUUACAUCCCCACACAUGAAGGAGGUCCACACGUAAUUAUUAUGUGCAGGCUCACCUCCAUGUAAGAGGUGUAAAGAAUUGUAUACACUGAAAAUGUGCACGUAAUAUGAACCAAGGAAAAAUCAAAAGGCUGAUUGAAAAAUUGAAUUGAACCCCAAAAAUAACCAAACCAAAUAAAUUGAGACCCAAGCAAUCAAUUGGCAAACUUUUUGAGGGUCGUAGCAAGGUAACGGUAAGCAACUCGCCAACGCAGUUGACCGGGCUCAAGUGGGAAUUUAUGAUUUUUUUUUUAUUAUUUUUUUAAAUUCAAAUUUUAAGGAAAACUCAAGUAUUUCUUUGUCACGAAUUUCAAGGCAUGUCGAGGACUAUGUAAAUUGUAAAGAUCAAAAUUAGGUCAAGAAUUGGGGAUUGAAUACCAAAAAAUAGAGGAGCGUAAAAGAGAAAUUCCAUAUCAUAAACAUCAAAUUCAUGAAGCAAGAUUAAUGCAAGAAAUUGUUGUUGCGUUAUGAUGAUUUUAAAGGAAAAGAGUCGUUCGAAAUUGUUGAAGAGAUUCAAAAUUGUGUCAACUUUUUAUUCUGAGUUAUCUGGUUUGAAUUAAAUUGAGUGUACAGAAGAACAAAUCACAAAAAGGCUACAGAAGUCUCACAUGGGGGUGAGUCCCAUAUGAUUAUUUUAUUGCCUAAAAAAAUCCAACCACCCCUUUAUUGUGUCUUCUCUGUAAGUGUGUUCUGUGAGGAAAAAUUUUGUAAGUCUAGCAAAGUCCAUCUGGUUUAUGUUUCACUUUUCAUUAGUAUUUUUAUGAUAAUAUCAUGAUAAGCAAAACCCUUUUGUGAGUAGGGUUUUGAUAAUAUUCUGUUUACGCUUUCAUUAAUUAUUUUUUUUACUAAUAUUCUUUCAUGGUUAAUUGUUUACCCUUAUUCCAUGACAUUAAUGAUUGAUCAUUAUUAAUAUAUAUUGCACUCGAAUGAUUAGAAGUAAAUUAGUACGUGAUAAUAAAUAACUUAGGGUCUUAUAAAAUAUAGGUAGAGAUAUCAUUACGCUUUAUGAAUUUCGGAAUGCAAUAAUCUUCGUGAAUUAAUGUAUAUUUAUAUUGUAGUAGUUUAAUUAGAAUAACUAACUUCACAUAUAAGUUUAAGAUUGAUUGACCUUGAGAGAGGCUAUUGAUUAUGAUAGAUAAUUGACUUUCAACUUAGGCAAGAAUUGAAUAUCAAGGCGUGAAUGAGGGCUAAAGUAGCUAGGUUUACUAUGACGUAGUAAGAUAUUAAUACCUUUUGUGAGUUUAUUAAUUUGAAAAAUUGGGUGCUUAUUUAUAUUUUAAUUAUUAUUUUUUAGAUAAUUAUAUAGUUAAAAUCGAUACCCAAUAUAUAAGUGUAUGUGUUUUUCGAAUUAGAGCUAGGUUUAAGUAACAAGCGUUCAUGGAAUAAUAAUACUCUAUUUAUCACUUUAUUAUUAUAAUGAUAUGUCCACUCGAAUUAUAAAAUUACAACAUAUAUAUGGCAUGAAAAGAGUAAAUAUGUGUUGCACUCUUUUUUUUCUUAAUUGAGAUUUUGUCAUGUUGGAUUUUUGUUGAUAAGAUUUUUAACGAGGCAACUUUUAAAGUGGAUUCAAUCUUUUGCAUUUUUUUGCCUUCUUUUGAUAUUUUUGCCUCAUUGAGUUUUUGUCAAACAUAGUUUUUAAUGAGACAAUAUUGUGUUAUUAGUAAUUUAAGGGAGAUUGUUGUAAAUUAGGAAGUAUUUGUGAAUCACAAUUGUAUCAAUUAGCUCUAGUUAUACUUGACAUAUAGAGUAGGCUUUGGAUAUCAAUAAAUUGUGCAAAUUUGGACUCUUUCUCAAUUCUUUUGUAUUGUUCACUCUUUUCUUUUAGAGUGUGUUUGAUUAACUUUAUUUUUUAUGAAAAUUAUUAUUUUUCCACAUAAAUUCAUACUUUUGAGGUGCUUAAUCGACAAUUUUUUUCAUAGAAAAUAUUUUUCAAAUUUGGUCAUGUGAUCAUAUUUCCUUCAUAAAUAAGGAAAACAUUUUCCUUAGGGAGGGAUUGUUUUUAUUUUCCAGGUAAUUCACUCUCUCUUUCUCUCUCUUAUCUACCUAUUAAUAAAAAAUAGAUAAGUCUAAUAUUUUCUAGACGGAAAACUAAAUCAAUCAAAUACAUUUAAUUAAUAAAUUUUAUAAAAAAAUUUUUUAGACAAUUGAAUUGUCUAGAAUUUAUUUUCUUCCCCAUAUAUAAAUUCCACACUUGCAAUCAAACGCACUCUUGAUUUUUUAACAAAAACUCUAUUACUUUGUAAAAAUUUAGAAUCAUUAGGCAUUACAUUCUUGUGAUUGUAGGAAUUAAAAUGUUGGGCAUUACACAAUAAUUGUUGAGUAUUAUUAUACGUAUAUUUUUUGAGUAAAUUCAAACUUGAAUAUAUUAGUAAUAUUUUUUUUUUACAUAUUUAUACUUUACAUGUAAUUAUUUUUUAUAUUUCAUUGUAAAUUUGAAAAUAAUUAAAGAAAAAUAUAAUUAUAAGUGAUAUAUUGAUUCAACUAAUGACCCAACGAUUGAACCGGUAGCUCAAUAAAGUACUAUAAUAUUGUUUGAAUGAAUUUCCGUAUUAAUUUUAUAAAUAUGGUCACAUCAAUAUAAGACCAUAUUUUCUUUUCCCUCAAUAACCUAUUGGCGUGCGAUGUUCAAUACCAAGCUCAAACUCUUAAUAUAAUUAAGAAAUAGAAUAAUUGUUCGAUGUGAUUUAGAAUAUCUUGAGUAUUAAGCAAAUGAAAAGCCACCAAUGUAUGAACAUGAGAUUUAUACCAAAUUUCAAUGUGAAGAUUUCUUUGAACUCUGCAAGCUAAGAAUAUUCAUGUCUAGUUGUGAUUUUCCCCUUUUUCUGCAAAAUAAUUUUUCUCACCCCUCCAUAUAUUCUUGAGUUUCAUGCAAGCAAUGUACUCACAAGUCACAGCAUCCUCAUAUGUUCAUCUGCAUAAAACAACCUGAUUAUCCAUAACAAGACCUGCACAAACACUCGGUUGCUCCGCCAUGGCUCCUCCGCCGCCGCAACCACAACAAGCAACCCGACCACGCCACUUACCGCUAGUACGAUCCAUUGCUAUGGUUUUGCUUGCUCUCGUCGUUGUGGUCGGCCUAGCCGUGCUGAUUGCUUGGGUAUCAGUUAAUCCCAAAAAACUCAAAUACUCCAUCGAACAAGGCUCAAUCUCAGACUACAACUUAACCAGCAACGGCCACCUCAAUGCCAAUUUCCAUUUCGUAUUACGUGCAAACAAUCCCAACAAACGGAUUUCGAUAUACUACGACAGGAUUGAGGUUACAGUGUCGUACGAGGAUCAGAUGCUGUCGAUCAACAAUGUCCUUCCCUUUUAUCAGCGACGGCAUAACGUGACCUACCUCGACUUGGAUCUUGCGGCGAGAGAUGUGACACUUUACGGAGCGGUGGCAAGGGAUCUGAAAAUGAAGAAAUAUUCAGGGAAAGUAGAUUUGGAUGUUAAAAUAAGAAGCAAAAUCAGGCAGAAAGUGGGAGUUUUUAAAAUUCAUCGCCAUUUGAAGAUCGAAUGUGGGCCUUUGAGAGUUCCGUUUUCUUCAUCAAAGGGUGAAUUUGAGAGAGUUUUCUGUGAUGUUGAUCUAUAAAUUUGUUCUGUUUAGUGUGAUUUGUUUAAUUGCUGUAUGAGGUUUUUAUUUAUUUAUUUAUUUUUUCAAACGUUGGAUUUUGAUUUUUACAUUUUAUUUUUCUUUAUUUUCUCGAUUUUUAAAAUGUUUGUCAAAAUAUUGGUGUGACAUAUGUAAUUUAUUUUCUCAAGUGAUUGAAAAGUAUAUUGUGCCAGGUAAUUUAUUCAUUAUGAAAAUGUUUUUGAUUGUUAUGGACAAUAUUUUAUGAAAAAUUCAUAAUAUCAGGUUACUAUAAUAAUAUAUUAAAUCAUUUUAUCUAAAAAUAUAAACUUUUAAAAUAAUACAAACUUAUUAGUUUCAAUUAUAUUUCGAAACAGGCCUCAUUUGCAAUUCUUUGGCAUAUGUUGGAUAUUAAAAUUCCAUUUAAUAUAAAUUAAAAUUCAGAUUUUAAUCUAAAUCAAAAUCAACAAUUAAUUUUAAUUACAUAUUUUAUAAAACCAACAAUUUUUCAAUUAUACAUUUUAUCAGUUUUUAUUAAAAUUUGAUUUUAAUCCCUACCCAACAGGCCUAAAUUAUUUGAUAACCAAACAUUUUCCUCUCCUAUUCUACCCUCCUUUUCUUCUAGAAUCUUCUUUAUAAACUAGUUCCCUAUUAUUGUAUAGCCUUUAACACCUUGAGAUUCACUAUCUAGAAAUUUCCCUAUCAUCGCGAUGAAUUAGAACUCAUGCGGGUGUUUUAGUCGUCCAUGUACAACUAAAAAUUUGUUAUCAUCUACAUAAUUCUACGGAUGAUAUGACUUCGAAGUUUCGUAUCAAAACAUUAAUAUAGUUAAGCUUUGAAAAGUAUACGUCUUUUUCAUUUUAAGUCUUUGUAGACAGAUUUUCUAAGAUGUAUACAAUUUUGUUUAACUUUCAUUAAAACAUGUUUUUUAUUUACAUGGUUGAUAAAAUUCAAAACUUAUUAUCUGUGAAUUUUAGAUGAACCAUUGCAUAUAAGCAUUGUUAACUAGUUGGAUUGAAAGAGAAGAAUUUUAUUAGGAAAAGUUAAGUAGAAUUCUAAUUUGGAAAGAAAAAGGAAAAGUUGCCCCACUGUACUACGGGUCUUUUUCCUUUUUUUCUUUGCAAGUUGAAAAGAAAUAAAGGGUAUUUGGUGGGGAUUAAAAUUAAAUUUUUGAUAAAAAAAAAAAAAAAUUUAAAUGUGUGGUUGAAAAGUUAUGGAUCCCAUGAAAUAUUUGAUUAAAAUUUAAUGUUAACUUUGAAUUGAAAUUUUAAUUGGAUUUUAAUCCAAAGCAAUAGGGACGAAAUUUUAUACGAGAAAUGAUUUCAUAUAUAAUUAAAAAAUUGAGGACUUUUCUAUUAAUGCUACGCAAGGCUUCAAUUGCAAGAUGUGCUUAGUACCAAGGAGAUGUGAAUUCAAGUAGAGAAUUAUGCACACAUUCUUGACAAUUGUUGAAGUUGCAAAUUUAUACUAACCCAAAACUAAUAAGAAAUUUAUUUUUAACAACAAAAUAACAACUAAUCCAUUUAAUAUUUUUAUUCAUUGAAUAAAUUUUGUUUAUUAGAAUAUUGCAAUUUAGAGUUUUUGCUUAUUUUUGCAAUAUUGAAAGAGUCAAAAGAAGAAUUUUAUAGAUUUUUCAGUAUUUUAUUAACUUACUGAAAUUAAUUUUUAUUGAUUUGAUGUUGGAGUUUAGGUAAAGAAGAUAAUAAAUCUUAUAAAAAAUAAUAUAAAGAAAAAAAUAUUUAACGAAAAUUUGAUAAUUAAAAAUAUAGUAUGUAAAACGUAAUAACGUAGUAUAUAAGAUGCAAUUUGUUAUUUCAAUUAAAGGCAUUGUCGUUCGUUUAGCUAUUUUAUAAUGACAUGUUAGUAAGCCCCCCGAGGCAUAACCUAGUGGUGUAAAGGACGGGAGUGAGGUAGUUUCAGCUUUGCUGACAGUCGCAGUGUGGGGGUUCGAUUCCUGAAAUAUGGAAUUGGACUCUUUUGGACAACAGUGUAUGGACAAACUCUUGUUCCCUUAUCUGUUGGGGCACAUUUAGUGAUUUACUUCCAUCGCGAUACUCCAGAGACGGAACGGUAGGAGCUCUCAAGGUUGGGGUUCAACCUUUUAUAAUGACAUGUUAGUAAAUUUUGCAGCAAAUAGUGAAUUUUGUAACCAUUGUUCAAAUUGCAAAAUAUAUAUAAAAUAUGAAUUUAUAAAAUGCGGUAUGUAAAAUAUAAUUAAACGGUGUAUUUGUAAAUUUCUCUAAUUAUAUGAAUAGAAGAUUUGAAAAUAUUGUUGUAAAAAGGUCAAUAGGAGAAAAUAGAAGGUUUGAACAUAAUGUCUUACUUUUAUGAAGUAAAUAAAACAAGGUAUUUCAACUGACCGUAAGAGGAAAAAAGUACGGACCCAAAUAAUGUCGCAUUCAGUAAAACUUUAAAAUUUUCAAAAAUAUGUAAAUUUUCCUGCACAUCAAUUUUAUCUCCUAAUACUAUGAAUUAAUUUUGAAAGGAUUUAUGACAUAGUCUUUUCUUAAUUUCUAUCAUUUUAAAUAGUUAUUAACUUACUUUAUAUAUGGUUAAAAAUAUGUCAUAUGUUGGUUUAUUAAAAUAUAUCAAAAAUUGAAUAUCCGGUGUAUAAUUUAAAAAACAAGGUUUAAAUAAUAUGAUAUAUAUAUAUUAAAAUACUGAUAAUACUAUAAUUUAAUUAAUAUAGUUUUUUAACUGAAGAUUUCAAGUCUCUUAAUGUAUAGAAAAAAAAAUAUUAAUAAUUGAAUAUCUAUAUUAGAUGCGAAGGAAAAGAAGUGUCUACAUGCAUUGAAUAUUUUCUUCUUGUUUCAAUGUUAUUUUUUUUUUUUUUACCAAAUAUGUAAAGGCAGAAGCAUAAAAUUAUAGAAAAUGAAUAUUUACAAAUAAAGAAUUAAUUUUUUCCAAAAUUAAAUUAUUCUCAAAAUAACUAAAAAUUGUUUGGACCAAAAAGAAAUAAUGUAUAAUGUCCAUUCCUUGAGAGCAUGGACACAACUUGGAAGGCAAUCUUCCUCUAUCUUAUUUCUUAAUAUACUUUCCUAACCCCCAGUCGAAGUAUUCAACCCAAAGGAAAAAUGAAUUUUGAUCUAAGUAUGCUCGAAUGUCAUCUCAUACACACUAGCGGUCCCUUCCCCUCUUUAUUCCAUAAAAAUAUUAUUAAACGUAUGGAUUAAGGAAAUGCAUUAUAAUUUUUUUGAACCAGAAGAAAUACUUUCAUGAAAUUAGUCAAAUUAAUAGAUCUAAAAUAAUUGUUAAAUCUCAAAAAUUCUUUUUAACUAUUCAAAAUCAUGCCAAAUGACCCCGAUGUCAGGUUCAUAGCUAAAUGGAGUUGAACACUUUCUUAAUUAAAUUAAAUUAGCCCUUUUGACUUUUAAGGUAAAUGUUGGUUUUUGAUAUCUAAUGAAUCUUGAGCUAUGAUGUAGACGUAGGAAUAUAAUUUCAUAUUCCCCGACCAAUGAUGAAUUAAUUAUCAACAAACAAAUCCGAAGGCUCGACCUGAAAACAAUGUGAACUGUCUUAAGUAGUUUAAGAAAUUAAUGCUACUCACGAUUCAUAUCUAUUUAUCUAUUAGACGACUUUAAAUUUUGGCACAUUUAAUUCUAUUAUUGGUCCAAUUAAAGUCUAAUCUAUUCCUAUAUAUGUUGCUUUUAGCCCUAACAGUUUGUGUGUGAUUUGUGCCUGCAUAGAGUGAAAAACGUAGCCGCCCAUUUAAGAGGAAAAUUCGACUACUUUGUGCUUCCAAAAAAUUGGUGAUUAACUGUGUUAUUCGUCUCCUAUUGUGCCUUCUUUUCAUUGGUUUUUUUUUUAGCAUAAGUGCCAUAGAAGGCUAAAUUCAACAACCUCCCAAAUAUUAUAAUAUAUUGAUUGAAUAAAUAUCGUUAUUCUAGCAUUUCAAUAAUUAUAAUGACCAUCAAAGAAAUUAGGACGAUUUGUAUGAUACUCCUCAAGAUUUUAAAAAAUGUGGUUAGCCAUUGCUCAAGAUUAUAGAAUCUUAAUUUCAAAAUAAGCACAUGGCUCUUGUACGAAUUGAUAGCCCACGGAUAACUAACAAAGAAGGGGUGAAUUGGUUUUUAAUUUUUUUUUUAAAUAAACUUAAAUCAAACAAGUCAAGAAAUACGUUGAUCAAUUAAUUAUAAUCAUAAACAUACAGAAGCAGGCAGAUCGAUCAAAUAAUUAAUAUAAAUGAAAUAACAAUAAGUAAAAGGGUAGAGAGGGUGCAAACGGUAUAAUUGUGGAGGUUCGAUCCAAAAAAAUAUCAACAUCCUUCAUUACCAAUCUCUUCAACACGAGCAAGGCCUUUUCAUUAUAUUGAUUGACUUAUGGUGCAAUUUAACUCUUUACAACACUUUUAAUAACUUAUAAAUAAUGACCAUCAAUCAUUAUACAAUGUUGAAUUUUACAGGACCUCAACACUACCCACUAUUGAGCUUUUACAUUACAUCAAUAUGAUCCACAUUAUUGAGCGUUACGGGACCUUAAUAUGACCUAUACAAUGGUUUAUAACAAAGAGCACCGAUUCUUAUACAAUAUUGAUGUUUACGAGAAUUCCAUACAAUCUACACUUUAUCAAAGUGUGUUUACAAUGGAAUUUUUCUCUUGAUAAAGUGAGUGAAAGACUUCUGUUCAAAAUUUCGUCAUUCGUGAGGACUUUUUGUUACAUACUAUUUAAAUAAUGGAAUAUUAAAUAUCUAUGAAGUAAAUUAAUUGAGAAUCCAAGUACUUGAUUGAUCAAACUGAGCAAAUCUUACAUAUGUAACAAAUGAACCCAUGGAGACCCAAAAGGUAAAUGGAUCCAACCCGGUAAGCCAUAUUUUAGUACGAGGAAAUAGUGGCCAACAGCCGGUUGACCCGGCCAAUUUUUCAAAGAGGCCUUUGACCGGUUAAAAAAAAAAGCAAAAUUAUUUAAAACAGUGAAAACCAACAAAAAUCAAGAGAAACCCAAUUUUACCCCUUGCAAGGAAAAGGAACCAGAAGGGGAGUGGAAAAGUAUUGUAGCACAGUCGACCCAGUUACCGACAAAAAAGAAAAAACAGGAGACCCAGUUGAUCAUUUCUUUCUGAAGAAGGUAAGAUUUUUAUACCAAAAAAACCAUAUUUUUAUUUUUAUUUUUGGAAAAAAGUAUGAUUUUAUAUAUAUGUGUUGAGAAAUCCUUGUAUAAAUGUGGAAUUUGGCUUGUUAUUGUUUGGGAAGGAGUGGAGAUCGCCAGAAAUGAAGUUUUCCAACGAUCUCCAUGGCAGACGGCGUGCCGGUCGCCCAGACGGCCCAGUUGACUAGGCCGUCUGGGCGAAGGUACCCUAUCAACUAGGUAACCCAGUUGACUGGGCCAACUGGGCACAGUAACGCCCAGGUGGCCCAGUCAACUGGGCACCUGGGCCGGCCAUUAUUUUGGGCCCUUUUUUUGGAUAAUUAUUGAAAUUAAUUAAAUAAUUAUUAAUGGCUUAUAUUGUGUUCUCUAAUAUGUAAUUGUUUAUUUGAAUUGCUUAAUUUGAAUGUAUAUUAUAUAUAUAUAUAUAUAUAUAUAUAUUAACGCCCGAAAAUGAUGAUUGGUGACAAAAAUAAUAUGAACAGAUUUGAUUGAAAGCUUGUUUUCUAGACUUGAUUAAUAGAGACACAAUAUUUUUAAAUAGUAAGUAUUAGAAGGCACCACCAAUCCAACUUCGCCACUCUACCUUCAAACACUUCUCUCUUGGAAUAAAGAUGAAUCUGAAAAUCAAUUGUAGGAAAUGAAAGAGACGCUAAUCUAAAUUUAAUGAUUUUUCGUAAUAGCUAACCAUUAAAUAAUGUAUGUAUGGCUAUAAUUCAGAAAAGCUAACAGUUAAAUAAUCUUCAGGUCUAAAUACAGUGGGAACAAUAGCUGACGAAGACUUAGAUUCAGCCUCUUCAGUCGCAGGCCCAUUAAUCUCUUCGGCCACGGUAUUGAAGAAGAAAGCUAUGAAAUGAAAGAAAUGAUUCAUUCAUCUAAAAAUGUCGUACAUCCAGAUAUAAAUACAGCUUGGUUCAUUAACAGAAUAUGCCAGCAUCAAACAGAAUAUCCCAGCUCACUAAACUGCAGUUAACUAACUAACUUUAACUAACUAACUUCAUCUAACUAACUAACGGUACUACAAUCAAUUGCCAGCUAUUGCCAGCUAAGCUAAAUAGUCUAAUACCCCCCCUUCAAGGUGGACGAUGCAGAUCAGUAACGGCCAUCUUGGAUAGUAGAGGAAACAAAGAGUUGGCAGGUAAAGCUUUAGUAAAAACAUCUGCUAACUGAUUCUGGGUGCGGACAGGUAAAAGUUUGAUGGAGCCUUCAGUAACUUUAUCACGGAUGUAAUGGCAAUCAAUCUCGAUGUGUUUCGUCCUUUCAUGGAAGAUAGGAUUGUUAGCUAUGUGAAUUGCAGCUUGGUUAUCACAAAAUAUUAGUGCCGGAGUUGGGGAAGAAAUCUGGAAAUCACGAAGUAAUUGAUGGAUCCAAGCAAUUUCACUUGCUGUUUCCUAGGAGGGAGUUCAGGAUCCGAAGAUUUGGAGAGGCAAUCUCGACAGUGUGUCCAGGCCGGAGUUGUGCCCCAAACGACGACGUAGCGGCAUGUGGUGGUGAGGAUUUUCAACAUGAGGGAUUAUUGCAAAUGGCAGGGGGGUUUGGGAAUUCUGGAUUUUAGGGUUAGGUUUUGAUUUAGAGGAAGAGGUGAACCACCAUCGACGAAGGAUAAAGAAGCUUUUUUGCUCGGGAAGAAGAAGCAGGGAUUUAUGACUUCUCUUUCUUGAAUUAAAACUCUGCGCUCAUCGGCGGUGCAAUUGGAGGGCUAUGAACCAGGACAAAAUGAAUGGGGAAUGGCGUGUGACACUGUGAGAGUAUAUGAACGAAGACAAAAGGUGUCAUCUUAAACAGUAACUUGGCACUGGCGUACUGACAAAAUUCUUACAUUUGAUCAUACAUUCUCUAUCAAUCUACUAUUCCAAAUACAUUCUCCUCUAAAAAUGGGGCUCAAACAGGCUCUAUGAAUAGACAUUUUGUGAAGAACUGAUUGAUAGAAUUGGGUUAUGUUUCGAUUUUUUUUCUACGGCUCAGCUUUGUUAGAAGCCGAAUUCAUAUCCUCUUUCGCUGAUACAUGUUCCUGAUUAUCAUGUUCUUAACGACUGAAAUAUUUUUUAUGAGCAAUGCUUGAGAAAUUUUCCGAAUACAGCAAACGACUUAUAUAUAAUGAAGGAAAUAUUUCAAAUUUAUUUUCAGCGCAAAAGAUUUGCUUCAGUUUAUGGUUUGAAAUUUCUUGUCAGGAAGGAGAGGGACCGUUAUGCCUCCUCGAAAGCACUUUCCAGUUUAUCCAUGCUUUCUGCGUCAAGAAGUGCAACAGAUAAAUGGCUAAUGGGUAGAUUUUUCAUUAUUUGUUUUCAAGAAUUUAUUAUUAUUAUUAUUAUUUAAUAUUUUCUUAGUUGUGAUUUUUCAAUUAAUUGUAUUACAUUCAUUAAAUUUAUUAAUGAAUUCAAUAUUUUCGUUAACGAAACAUAAUUAUCUAUUUAAUAAUUUAUGAAGUAGUAGAUCAAAUAAAUAAAUAAUUUUUUCAUAUAGAUAAAUUAUUAAGAAUGAAAAAAUGAUUAAAUAAUGUUCAUGUGGUGCAAUUUUUAGUGUAAUGGUUAAAGAUGAAUUUUAAUUUGAUACAAAUUUUGGGAUGGGAUUGGAGAUGAUCUAAGUAAUUAAUGUACAUAAGCAAGUUGACUUUGCAAGCCAAAUAAACACUAUUCAUCAUUUGUGCAAUCAAAAUAGAAUAUUCAACAGCCCCCCAGGGCACAUCCGAGUUGGUGGAACAAUCACUUCGCUGGGACGCUGGAAGCAAGGGUGGAGAGUUCGAUUCCUGGAGUUAACACUGGGUGCUAAAAUGGAGGGGAAGCCAUUUGGUUGAACAAACGCCCAGCGAGGAGAGCUCUCUUUGCGGAAGGAGGCCAAAUGAGUUGUGGGAACCUGGGAGCCAACAAGGGCACAUCCUGCGAUUUACC
rnacentral:lncRNA from 1 species